UUCACCUGUGGAACGUGUGGGUGA
rnacentral:piRNA from 1 species